CUCCGGUUGAUCCCGCCGGACCCGACUGCUAUCAGAGUGGGACUAAGCCAUGCGAGUCAACGUAGCAAUACGUGGCAUACGGCUCAGUAACACGUAGUCAACAUGCCCAGGGGACGAGGAUAACCUCGGGAAACUGAGGAUAAACCUCGAUAGGCCAUGAUUUCUGGAAUGAUUCUUGGCUCAAACCUAUAUGGCCCCUGGAUUGGACUGCGGCCGAUCAGGCUGUUGGUGAGGUAAUGGCCCACCAAACCUAUUACCGGUACGGGCUCUGAGAGGAGGAGCCCGGAGAUGGGCACUGAGACAAGGGCCCAGGCCCUAUGGGGCGCAGCAGGCGCGAAACCUCUGCAAUAGGCGAAAGCUUGACAGGGUUACUCUGAGUGAUUUCCGCUAAGGGAAUCUUUUGGCACCUCUAAAAAUGGUGCAGAAUAAGGGGUGGGCAAGUCUGGUGUCAGCCGCCGCGGUAAUACCAGCACCCCGAGUGGUCGGGACGAUUAUUGGGCCUAAAGCAUCUGUAGCCGGUCCUGCAAGUCUUCCGUUAAAUCCAGCUGCUCAACAGAUGGGCUGCGGGAGAUACUACAGGGCUAGGAGGCGGGAGAGGCAAGCGGUACUUUAUGGGUAGGGGUAAAAUCCGCUGAUCCAUAGAAGACCACCAGUGGCGAAGGCGGCUUGCCAGAACGCGCCCGACGGUGAGGGAUGAAAGCUGGGGGAGCAAACCGGAUUAGAUACCCGGGUAGUCCCAGCUGUAAACGAUGCAGACUCGGUGAUGGGUUGGCCUCGCGCCUGCCCAGUGCCGCAGGGAAGCCGUUAAGUCUGCCGCCUGGGGAGUACGGUCGCAAGACUGAAACUUAAAGGAAUUGGCGGGGGAGCA
rnacentral:rRNA from 1 species